rnacentral:rRNA from 1 species
UACGGAGGGUGCGAGCGUUGUCCGGAAUUACUGGGCGUAAAGCGUGCGCAGGCGGUUCGUCGUGUCCGAUGUGAAAGCCCCGGGCUCAACCUGGGAAUGGCAUUGGAAACUGGCGGACUCGAGUGUGGCAGAGGGGGGUGGAAUUCCGCGUGUAGCAGUGAAAUGCGUAGAGAUGCGGAGGAACACCGAUGGCGAAGGCAGCCCCCUGGGCUAACACUGACGCUCAGGCACGAAAGCGUGGAGAGCAAACAGG